AGCCUCUAAACUAGGAGGACAAGUGUUUCCCUCUACUCACCUGAUCUAACAAAGAGCCAUGGAUGGUUGCCUUAAACAGCUGUUGAUGUCUCACAGUGUUAAGAGGCUGAAAAGGCCAAGAUUCAAUUCCUCAAGGAAUUUCUUACUGGUACAUUAUGCGCACACUCAGGAUUUUGCUCUACUCUACCCUGCAAUUUGAGUCUAUGAGCAGCACAGAGGGACUGUUCCUGUAAAUGGACAAUGUAACAUGAGGAAGAAAUCAAUUUCUGCUCUGCAUAAGCUGGGUGGUAGUUUAUCUUCAUUACCAACACAGCUGUAUUGGAGUGACCCAAGAAGACAGUAACAUAUAACCUCUAGGUGCAUCUGGAAGCCUCUUCUAGAGAUUAGGGAUGUGCUGUAGAGUAUUGGACAAAGAGUGGGGUACUUGAUCCUGUAGGCAGCGCUGUCGUUGAACCGAAGCAGAAUGGAUUCUGGGUACCAGUAGACUUAGCAGAAAAGUCAACUUGGCCUCUCGUUGAAUAGGUCUGCAUGUGCAAAACUGAGCCCAGGACACAAGAAAGCUCCAUCAAUGAAGACUGGAACAGGCUUCUAAGUCUCUAGAAAUCGCUACCCACUUUCCCAAGGACCAUCUAAUUACAUAGCCGCACCAUAAUCCUCUCCACACAUUUCUCUGGUCACGCAUUCAGCAAUAUUUUUACAACCAAAUCUCAGAUUAAAAUGUAUUUAUUUCUCUUAACCC
rnacentral:lncRNA from 1 species